rnacentral:rRNA from 1 species
CCUACGGGUGGCAGCAGUGAGGAAUAUUGGUCAAUGGGCGCGAGCCUGAACCAGCCAAGUAGCGUGAAGGAUGACUGCCCUACGGGUUGUAAACUUCUUUUAUAAAGGACUAAAGUGAGGCACGUGUGCCUUUUUGUAUGUCCUUUAUGAAUAAGGCUCGGCUAACUCCUUGCCAGCAGCCGCGGUAAUACGGAGGAUCCGAUCGUUAUCCGGAUUUAUUGGGUUUAAGGGGUCGUUAGGCGGAGCGUUACGUCAGUGGGAAAAUCGAGGGGCGCAACCCCUUCCCGCCGUUGAAACUGGCGCUCUUGAGUGGAGGAGAAGUAGGCGGAAUGCGUGGUGUAGCGGUGAAAUGCAUAGAGAUCACGCAGAACCCCGAUUGCGAAGGCAGCAUGCCGGCUUCCGACUGACGCUGAAGCACGAAAGCGUGGGGAUCGAACAGGAUUAGAUACCCCUGUAGUC